rnacentral:rRNA from 1 species
GACGAACGCUGGCGGCGUGCUUAACACAUGCAAGUCGAACGGAAAGGCCCUGCUUUUGUGGGGUGCUCGAGUGGCGAACGGGUGAGUAACACGUGAGUAACCUGCCCUUGACUUUGGGAUAACUUCAGGAAACUUGGGCUAAUACCGGAUAGGAGCUCCUGCUGCAUGGUGGGGGUUGGAAAGUUUCGGCGGGUGGGGAUGGACUCGCGGCUUAUCAGCUUGUUGGUGGGGUAGUGGCUUACCAAGGCUUUGACGGGUAGGCGGCCUGGGAGGGUGGCCGGCCACAUUGGGACUGAGAUACGGACCAGACGCCUACGGGAGGCAGCAGUGGGGAAUAUUGCACAAUGGGCGGAAGCCUGAUGCAGCAACGCCGCGUGCGGGAUGACGGCCUUCGGGUUGUAAACCGCUUUCGCCUGUGACGAAGCGUGAGUGACGGUAAUGGGUAAAGAAGCACCGGCUAACUACGUG